GUGGGGAAUUUUGGACAAUGGGCGAAAGCCUGAUCCAGCCAUGCCGCGUGCAGGAUGAAGGCCUUCGGGUUGUAAACUGCUUUUGUACGGAACGAAAAGACUCCUUCUAAUAAAGGGGGUCCAUGACGGUACCGUAAGAAUAAGCACCGGCUAACUACGUGCCAGCAGCCGCGGUAAUACGUAGGGUGCAAGCGUUAAUCGGAAUUACUGGGCGUAAAGCGUGCGCAGGCGGUUAUAUAAGACAGAUGUGAAAUCCCCGGGCUCAACCUGGGAACUGCAUUUGUGACUGUAUAGCUAGAGUACGGUAGAGGGGGAUGGAAUUCCGCGUGUAGCAGUGAAAUGCGUAGAUAUGCGGAGGAACACCGAUGGCGAAGGCAAUCCCCUGGACCUGUACUGACGCUCAUACACGAAAGCGUGGGGAGCAAACAGGAUUAGAAACCCCAGUAGUCC
rnacentral:rRNA from 1 species